rnacentral:lncRNA from 1 species
AUGGAGUUGCCGGCUCCGCGUGGCAGCAGCGUGAUGUCGCUGGUCCCCGUCGUGGUGCUCUUGGCUCUGUGCCCGCUCCUCGCCCGGGCAGGUACCCACGGGCAGCGGGGUGGGGGUCCGGGCAGAGCUCCCCAGUUCCCGGGGACCCCCUUCCCAACCCCCGCACCCCGAUCUUCCCCUGCGCCGAGAGCGCGGCGGGGACCCCGAGGGCAGAAAGGAGGUGGAGCCGUUCUGGGUGGGGCGCUGGGACUCACACGGGGAUGCCUGGCAUCACCGAGCCCUCGGGGCUGGCAUCACCGAGUCAACGGUCCUGGCAUCACCGAGCACUCAGUGCUGGCAUCACCAAGCCCUCGGUGCUGGCACCUCCAAGCCCUCGGUCCUGGCAUCACCGAGCCCUUGGUCCUGGCAUCACCGAGCCCUCGGUGCUGGCACCAGGACCUGGCACCUCUGAGCCCUCGGUCCUGGCACCACUGAGCCCUCAGUGCUGGCACCAGGACCUGGCAUCACCGAGCCCUCGGUCCUGGCACCUCUGAGCUCUCGGUCCUGGCACCUCCAAGCCCUCAGUGCUGUUGCCACCGAGCGUGUCCCCACAGAUGUCCCCUGUCCCCAACCCAGCAGAGCCACCUUGUCCCAGGGGUGGCCCCUCUAUCUACCCCGCUGUACCCAUCCCUGGUGUCACCGCGCACUGACCCCGCUGUGUCCCCUCCCAGACCAGCCUCCUGUCACCAUCACGGUGACAGCGGCCAUCGGCGAGGACGCCUACCUGCCCUGCGGCCCGCGGCCCUGGGGUGACCUGCGCAGGGCCACCCUCAGCUGCACCCACCACAGGCACUGUCCCCUUUGGGGUCUCUCUCAUUCCCUGCCGUACCCAGCCCUGUCCCUGUCUCCAUGGUGCCAGAAUUUGGGGGUGUCACCAAUUCCCUGCUGUGCCUGUCACCUGCUCUGUCCAUUGUCCCGAUCUGGGUGGUGCCCCCAACACUUUUCACCCCAAUUGGAGCCUCCUCAUUCCCUGACUCAUCUGUCACCUCCUCCAGCUGAGUCACCAUCUUGGUGAUACCAGGUGUCCCUGACGUGUCCCUUGUGCCACCUGAGCAGUGACCAGUGUCCCUGCCCUGUUCUCCUGUCCUAUUUGAGGUCCCACAUGCCUGACGUGUCCCUUGUGCCACCUGAGCAGUGCCAGGUGUCCCUGACGUGUUCCCCUGCCCUAUU